AAGCAGCGGAAAAUGGAAUAUUCCACACUUGAUGAAUUUUAUCAUGUCAGAUUCUCCUUUAAAGCAAAAUGCAUUGCCGCUACUGUGUGACAUGGCUCAUGCAUCACGUAAUUCGAGGGAGCAAUUGAGGGCCCAUGGUGGAUUGGAUGUGUACUUGAGUUUGCUUAAUGAUGAAGUAUGGUCUGUGACAGCAUUAGAUUCAAUUGCUGUCUGCUUGGCUCAUGACAACGACAACCGCAAGGUGGAACAAGCUUUGCUGAAGAAGGAUGCAGUUCAAAGAUUGGUGAAGUUUUUCCAGUCUUGUCCGGAUCAACACUUUGUCCACAUAUUGGAGCCAUUCUUGAAAAUUAUCACGAAAUCAUCUCGAUAAACACGACAUUAGCUGUUAAUGGUUUGACACCCCUGCUAAUCUCAAGAUUGGAUCACCAGGAUGCUUUUGCUCGUCUUAUUUUACUUAAAUUAAUUAAGGCUGUUUAUGAGCACCCCC